rnacentral:rRNA from 1 species
AACGAACGCUGGCGGCAUGCUUAACACAUGCAAGUCGAACGGUAUUAUAUAGUACUUGUAUUAUGUAAUAUAGUGGCAAACGGGUGAGUAACGCGUGGGAAUGUACCCUUCAGUCAUGGAUAACGUCUGGAAACGGACGCUAAUACAUGAUAUAUCAGAGAUGAGAAAGAGAGAUUGCUGAAGGAGCAGCCCGCGUUAGAUUAGGUAGUUGGUGGGGUAAAGGCCUACCAAGCCGAUGAUCUAUAGCUGGUCUGAGAGGACGAUCAGCCACACUGGGACUGAGACACGGCCCAGACUUCUACGGAAGGCAGCAGUGGGGAAUAUUGGACAAUGGGAGAAACCCUGAUCCAGCGAUGCCGCGUGAGUGAAGAAGGCCUUCGGGUUGUAAAGCUCUUUUAUAGGUGAAGAUGAUGACGGUAACCUAUGAAUAAGCUCCGGCUAACUUCGUGCCAGCCGCCGCAGUAA